rnacentral:rRNA from 1 species
ACCAGACUCCUACGGGAGGCAGCAGUGGGGAAUAUUGCACAAUGGGGGAAACCCUGAUGCAGCGACGCCGCGUGAGUGAGGAAGUAUUUCGGUAUGUAAAGCUCUAUCAGCAGGGAAGAAAAUGACGGUACCUGACUAAGAAGCCCCGGCUAACUACGUGCCAGCAGCCGCGGUAAUACGUAGGGGGCAAGCGUUAUCCGGAUUUACUGGGUGUAAAGGGAGCGUAGGCGGCUGUGUAAGCCAGAAGUGAAAGCCCGGGGCUCAACUCCGGGACUGCUUUUGGAACUACAUGGCUUGAUUGCAGGAGAGGCAAGUGGAAUUCCUAGUGUAGCGGUGAAAUGCGUAGAUAUUAGGAGGAACACCAGUGGCGAAGGCGGCCUGCUGGACCGCGACUGACGUUGAGGCUCGAAAGCGUGGGGAGCGAACAGGAUUAGAUACCCUCGUA